rnacentral:snRNA from 1 species
AUAUCAACAAGAUAUUUGAGCUAGGAGUUUCUGAUAAUCUUCAGGAACAUGCCAACGGCCCACUCGAUAUUAAUCUUAUUUUUAUGGGGAAAGGCCCAUCACAAUAGCUUGCUAUUGGGGUCUUUGAGCGUCGCCUUGGCAUUGCACUACUGCCUUGGCCUGGUGCACCCCUC